rnacentral:rRNA from 1 species
CGACAGGCUUAACACAUGCAAGUCGAGGGGCAGCACAGGUAGCAAUACCGGGUGGCGACCGGCGCACGGGUGAGUAACGCGUAUGCAACUUGCCUAUCAGAGGGGGAUAACCCGGCGAAAGUCGGACUAAUACCGCAUGAAGCAGGGGCCCCGCAUGGGGAUAUUUGCUAAAGAUUCAUCGCUGAUAGAUAGGCAUGCGUUCCAUUAGGCAGUUGGCGGGGUAACGGCCCACCAAACCGACGAUGGAUAGGGGUUCUGAGAGGAAGGUCCCCCACAUUGGUACUGAGACACGGACCAAACUCCUACGGGAGGCAGCAGUGAGGAAUAUUGGUCAAUGGGCGUAAGCCUGAACCAGCCAGGUCGCGUGAGGGAUGAAGGUUCUAUGGAUCGUAAACCUCUUUUAUAAGGGAAUAAAGUGCGGGACGUGUCCCGUUUUGUAUGUACCUUAUGAAUAAGGAUCGGCUAACUCCGUGCCAGCAGCCGCGGUAAUACGGAGGAUCCGAGCGUUAUCCGGAUUUAUUGGGUUUAAAGGGUGCGUAGGCGGCCUUUUAAGUCAGCGGUGAAAGUCUGUGGCUCAACCAUAGAAUUGCCGUUGAAACUGGGGGGCUUGAGUGUGUUUGAGGCAGGCGGAAUGCGUGGUGUAGCGGUGAAAUGCAUAGAUAUCACGCAGAACCCCGAUUGCGAAGGCAGCCUGCCAAGCCAUUACUGACGCUGAUGCACGAAAGCGUGGGGAUCAAACAGGAUUAGAUACCCUGGUAGUCCACGCAGUAAACGAUGAUCACUAGCUGUUUGCGAUACACUGUAAGCGGCACAGCGAAAGCGUUAAGUGAUCCACCUGGGGAGUACGCCGGCAACGGUGAAACUCAAAGGAAUUGACGGGGGCCCGCACAAGCGGAGGAACAUGUGGUUUAAUUCGAUGAUACGCGAGGAACCUUACCCGGGUUUGAACGCAUUCGGACCGAGGUGGAAACACCUUUUCUAGCAAUAGCCGUUUGCGAGGUGCUGCAUGGUUGUCGUCAGCUCGUGCCGUGAGGUGUCGGCUUAAGUGCCAUAACGAGCGCAACCCUUGCCACUAGUUACUAACAGGUAAAGCUGAGGACUCUGGUGGGACUGCCAGCGUAAGCUGCGAGGAAGGCGGGGAUGACGUCAAAUCAGCACGGCCCUUACAUCCGGGGCGACACACGUGUUACAAUGGCGUGGACAAAGGGAAGCCACCUGGCGACAGGGAGCGAAUCCCCAAACCACGUCUCAGUUCGGAUCGGAGUCUGCAACCCGACUCCGUGAAGCUGGAUUCGCUAGUAAUCGCGCAUCAGCCAUGGCGCGGUGAAUACGUUCCCGGGCCUUGUACACACCGCCCGUCAAGCCAUGGGAGCCGGGGGUACCUGAAGUCCGUAACCGCGAGGAUCGGCCUAGGGUAAAACUGGUGACUG